rnacentral:rRNA from 1 species
CCUACGGGUGGCUGCAGUGAGGAAUAUUGGUCAAUGGCCGCAGGGCUGAACCAGCCAAGUCGCGUGAGGGAUGACGGUCCUAUGGAUUGUAAACCUCUUCUGUCAGGGAGCAAAGGGUGCCACGUGCGGCGCUUUGCGAGUACCUGAAGAAAAUGCAUCGGCAAACUCGGUGCCAGCAGCCGCGGUAAUACGGGGGAUGCGCGGGUUAUCCGGAUUUAUUGGGUUGAAAGGGUGCGCGGGCGGAAUGUCAAGUCGGAGGUAAAAUUUCGGGGCUCAACCCCGUCGUGCCGUUGAAACUGGCGAUCUUGAGUGAACGAGAGGUAUGCGGAAUGCGUGGUGUAGCGGUGAAAUGCAUAGAUAUCACGCAGAACUCCGGUUGCGAAGGCAGCAUACCGGCGCUCAACUGACGCUCAUGCACGAAAGCGUGGGUAUCGAACAGGAUUAGAUACCCGAGUAGUC